rnacentral:rRNA from 1 species
GCAAGAUUAAAACUCAAAGGAAUAGACGGGGACCCGCACAAGUGGUGGAGCAUGUGGUUUAAUUCGAAGAUACGCGAAGAACCUUACUUAGCCUUGACAUAUAUUAGAACACCCUAGAGAUAGAGUGGUGCCUUCGGGAGCUUUUAUACAGGUGCUGCACGGCUGUCGUCAGCUCGUGUCGUGAGAUGUUGGGUUAAGUCCCGCAACGAGCGCAACCCUCGUCACUAGUUACUAACGGUUCGGCCGAGGACUCUAGUGAGACUGCCUUCGUAAGGAGGAGGAAGGUGAGGACGACGUCAAGUCAUCAUGGCCCUUACGGCUAGGGCAACACACGUGCUACAAUGGUUGGGACAAUGAGACGCAAUACCGCGAGGUGGAGCAAAUCUAUAAACCCAAUCUCAGUUCGGAUUGUUCUCUGCAACUCGAGAACAUGAAGCUGGAAUCACUAGUAAUCGUAGAUCAGCUAUGCUACGGUGAAUACGUUCCCGGGUCUUGUACUCACCGCCCGUCACACCAUGGGAGUUGAUUUCACCCGAAGCGGGGAAGCUAAACUGGCUACCCUCCACGGUGGAAUUAGCGACUGGGGUGAAGUCAUAACAAGGUA